rnacentral:rRNA from 1 species
UUAAGCGACUAAGCGUACACGGUGGAUGCCCUGGCAGUCAGAGGCGAUGAAGGACGUGCUAAUCUGCGAAAAGCGUCGGUAAGGUGAUAUGAACCGUUAUAACCGGCGAUGUCCGAAUGGGGAAACCCAGUGCAAUUCGUUGCACUAUCGUUAACUGAAUACAUAGGUUAACGAGGCGAACCGGGGGAACUGAAACAUCUAAGUACCCGAGGAAAAGAAAUCAACCGAGAUUCCCCCAGUAGCGGCGAGCGAACGGGGAGCAGCCCAGAGUCUGAAUCAGCUUGUGUGUUAGUGGAACGGUCUGGAAAGUCCGACGGUACAGGGUGAUAGUCCCGUACACCAAAAUGCACAGGUUGUGAACUCGCAGAGUAGGGCGGGACACGUGGUAUCCUGUCUGAAUAUGGGGGGACCAUCCUCCAAGGCUAAAUACUCCUGACUGACCGAUAGUGAACCAGUACCGUGAGGGAAAGGCGAAAAGAACCCCGGCGAGGGGAGUGAAAAAGAACCUGAAACCGUGUACGUACAAGCAGUGGGAGCACCUUCGGGUGUGACUGCGUACCUUUUGUAUAAUGGGUCAGCGACUUAUAUUCUGUAGCAAGGUUAACCGUAUAGGGGAGCCGCAGGGAAACCGAGUCUUAACUGGGCGUUAAGUUGCAGGGUAUAGACCCGAAACCCGGUGAUCUAGCCAUGGGCAGGUUGAAGGUUGGGUAACACUAACUGGAGGACCGAACCGACUAAUGUUGAAAAAUUAGCGGAUGACUUGUGGCUGGGGGUGAAAGGCCAAUCAAACCGGGAGAUAGCUGGUUCUCCCCGAAAGCUAUUUAGGUAGCGCCUCGUGAACUCAUCUUCGGGGGUAGAGCACUGUUUCGGCUAGGGGGUCAUCCCGACUUACCAACCCGAUGCAAACUACGAAUACCGAAGAAUGUUAUCACGGGAGACACACGGCGGGUGCUAACGUCCGUCGUGAAGAGGGAAACAACCCAGACCGCCAGCUAAGGUCCCAAAGUCAUGGUUAAGUGGGAAACGAUGUGGGAAGGCACAGACAGCCAGGAUGUUGGCUUAGAAGCAGCCAUCAUUUAAAGAAAGCGUAAUAGCUCACUGGUCGAGUCGGCCUGCGCGGAAGAUGUAACGGGGCUAAACCAUGCACCGAAGCUGCGGCAGCGACACUAUGUGUUGUUGGGUAGGGGAGCGUUCUGUAAGCCUGCGAAGGUGUGCUGUGAGGCAUGCUGGAGGUAUCAGAAGUGCGAAUGCUGACAUAAGUAACGAUAAAGCGGGUGAAAAGCCCGCUCGCCGGAAGACCAAGGGUUCCUGUCCAACGUUAAUCGGGGCAGGGUGAGUCGACCCCUAAGGCGAGGCCGAAAGGCGUAGUCGAUGGGAAACAGGUUAAUAUUCCUGUACUUGGUGUUACUGCGAAGGGGGGACGGAGAAGGCUAUGUUAGCCGGGCGACGGUUGUCCCGGUUUAAGCAUGUAGGCUGGUUAUCCAGGCAAAUCCGGAUAAUCAAGGCUGAGGUGUGAUGACGAGGCACUACGGUGCUGAAGUAACAAAUGCCCUGCUUCCAGGAAAAGCCUCUAAGCAUCAGGUAACAUUAAAUCGUACCCCAAACCGACACAGGUGGUCAGGUAGAGAAUACCAAGGCGCUUGAGAGAACUCGGGUGAAGGAACUAGGCAAAAUGGUGCCGUAACUUCGGGAGAAGGCACGCUGGUGUGUAGGUGAAGUCCCUGCGGAUGGAGCUGAGACCAGUCGAAGAUACCAGCUGGCUGCAACUGUUUAUUAAAAACACAGCACUGUGCAAACACGAAAGUGGACGUAUACGGUGUGACGCCUGCCCGGUGCCGGAAGGUUAAUUGAUGGGGUUAUCCGUAAGGAGAAGCUCUUGAUCGAAGCCCCGGUAAACGGCGGCCGUAACUAUAACGGUCCUAAGGUAGCGAAAUUCCUUGUCGGGUAAGUUCCGACCUGCACGAAUGGCGUAAUGAUGGCCAGGCUGUCUCCACCCGAGACUCAGUGAAAUUGAACUCGCUGUGAAGAUGCAGUGUACCCGCGGCAAGACGGAAAGACCCCGUGAACCUUUACUAUAGCUUGACACUGAACAUUGAGCCUUGAUGUGUAGGAUAGGUGGGAGGCUUUGAAGCGUGGACGCCAGUCUGCGUGGAGCCAACCUUGAAAUACCACCCUUUAAUGUUUGAUGUUCUAACGUUGGCCCCUUACCGGGGUUGCGGACAGUGUCUGGUGGGUAGUUUGACUGGGGCGGUCUCCUCCCAAAGCGUAACGGAGGAGCACGAAGGUUAGCUAAUCCUGGUCGGACAUCAGGAGGUUAGUGCAAUGGCAUAAGCUAGCUUGACUGCGAGCGUGACGGCGCGAGCAGGUGCGAAAGCAGGUCAUAGUGAUCCGGUGGUUCUGAAUGGAAGGGCCAUCGCUCAACGGAUAAAAGGUACUCCGGGGAUAACAGGCUGAUACCGCCCAAGAGUUCAUAUCGACGGCGGUGUUUGGCACCUCGAUGUCGGCUCAUCACAUCCUGGGGCUGAAGUAGGUCCCAAGGGUAUGGCUGUUCGCCAUUUAAAGUGGUACGCGAGCUGGGUUUAGAACGUCGUGAGACAGUUCGGUCCCUAUCUGCCGUGGGCGCUGGAGAAUUGAGGGGGGCUGCUCCUAGUACGAGAGGACCGGAGUGGACGCAUCACUGGUGUUCGGGUUGUCAUGCCAAUGGCACUGCCCGGUAGCUAAAUGCGGAAGAGAUAAGUGCUGAAAGCAUCUAAGCACGAAACUUGCCCCGAGAUGAGUUCUCCCUGAGACUAUAAGUCUCCUGAAGGAACGUUGAAGACGACGACGUUGAUAGGCCGGGUGUGUAAGCGCAGCGAUGCGUUGAGCUAACCGGUACUAAUGAACCGUGAGGCUUAACCUU